rnacentral:lncRNA from 1 species
GUGAUUAUUCCUUGAAAAUUGAUUGUGGUUGUGAUCCUUUGUAUGAUUCCCCACCCAUGUUUGAUGACUAUGAGGAUGAAUUGCUUGCUUCUUGUGAAGACUUAAGUAAUAAUCCAUUUGAUUCUGCUUGUGGUGUGUAUCUACUUGAGGGUUCUUCCAUGAAAAGAGAAAGUGUCCAUUGCUUGGAAAUUACUUCUUCUUCUACUUUGUGUGACCUUAUUGUUGAGAGUACUCAUGGUGAUGAUUUUGAAACUAGUAGUGAGUACAUACAUGAGGACACCUUAGUUGAAGUUGACUUGAGUUAUACCUUUC